rnacentral:rRNA from 1 species
CCGCCGGCGACGGCGCACGGGUGAGUAACACGUAUGCAACCUGGCCGUGACAGAUGGAUAACCGGGAGAAAUCCCGCCUAAUACAACAUAAUGCCGGGAGGGGACAUCCCCUGCCGGCCAAAGGGGGCGACCCCGGUCACGGAUGGGCAUGCGGCGCAUUAGGUAGUUGGUGGGGCAACGGCCCACCAAGCCGACGAUGCGUAGGGGUUCUGAGAGGAAGGUCCCCCACAUUGGAACUGAGACACGGUCCAAACUCCUACGGAAGGCAGCAG